UCUCAGGGGCNCUCUAAGAUCAGUGUGGC
rnacentral:piRNA from 1 species